rnacentral:rRNA from 1 species
CGGCGGACGGGUGAGUAACACGUGGAUAACCUACCUAUAAGACUGGGAUAACUUCGGGAAACCGGGGCUAAUACCGGAUAAUAUAUUGAACCGCAUGGUUCAAUAGUGAAAGACGGUUUUGCUGUCACUUAUAGAUGGAUCCGCGCCGCAUUAGCUAGUUGGUAAGGUAACGGCUUACCAAGGCGACGAUGCGUAGCCGACCUGAGAGGGUGAUCGGCCACACUGGAACUGAGACACGGUCCAG